UACCUGCAGGAAGAGAAAGAAAAUUCGAUUCCCUUAGUAGCGGCGAGCGAAACGGGAAAAGCCCAAACCAAAGAGCUUGCUCUUUGGGGUUGUAGGACUGGGACAUGAGACUGCAAUGGAUAGCAGAAGCCAACUGGAAAGUUGCGCAACAUAGGGUAAUAGCCCCGUAUGCGAAAUCCAAAUCAGCUCUACCAGUAUCCUGAGUACGGCGGAACACGAGAAAUUCCGUCGGAAUCCGGGAGGACCAUCUCCCAAGGCUAAAUACUCCCUAGUGACCGAUAGUGAACCAGUACCGUGAGGGAAAGGUGAAAAGCACCCCGGAAGGGGAGUGAAACAGUACCUGAAACCGUGUGCCUACAAGUAGUCAAAGCCCGUUAAUGGGUGAUGGCGUACCUUUUGUAGAAUGGACCGGCGAGUUACGAUUUCAUGCGAGGUUAAGUUGAAAAGACGGAGCCGCAGCGAAAGCGAGUCUGAAUAGGGCGAAUAAGUAUGAGGUCGUAGACCCGAAACCAAGUGACCUACCCAUGUCCAGGUUGAAGGUGCGGUAAUACGCACUGGAGGACCGAACCCACGCACGUUGAAAAGUGCGGGGAUGAGGUGUGGGUAGCGGAGAAAUUCCAAUCGAACUUGGAGAUAGCUGGUUCUCUCCGAAAUAGCUUUAGGGCUAGCCUCGGAUAUGCGAAUCAUGGAGGUAGAGCACUGUUUGGACUAGGGGCCCUUCUCGGGUUACCGAAUUCAGAUAAACUCCGAAUGCCAUUGAUUUAGAUCCGGGAGUCAGACUGCGAGUGAUAAGAUCCGUAGUCAAAAGGGAAACAGCCCAGACCACCAGCUAAGGUCCCAAAGUAUCUGUUAAGUGGAAAAGGAUGUGGGGUUGCACAGACAACUAGGAUGUUGGCUCAGAAGCAGCCAUCAUUUAAAGAGUGCGUAAUAGCUCACUAGUCGAGUGACCCUGCGCCGAAAAUUUACCGGGGCUAAACAGAUCACCGAAGCUGUGGAUGGAACCCAAUGGGUUCCGUGGUAGGAGAGCGUUCUAAGGGCAUCGAAGCCAGAUCGUGAGGACUGGUGGAGCGCUUAGAAGUGAGAAUGCCGGUAUGAGUAGCGCAAGACGGGUGAGAAUCCCGUCCACCGAAUAACUAAGGUUUCCUGGGGAAGGCUCGUCCUCCCAGGGUUAGUCGGGACCUAAGCUGAGGCCGAUAGGCGUAGGCGAUGGACAACAGGUUGAUAUUCCUGUACCAGUUGCUUUUGUUUGAGCGAUGGAGGGACGCAGGAGGCUAAGGAAUGCACACGAUCGGAAAUGUGUGUCCAAGCAGCAAGUCUGAGAACGAGUGAAAUGCUUUUUCUCUCAAGGACAAGCUGUGAUGGGGAGCGAAAUUUAGUAGCGAAGUUCCUGAUGUCACACUGCCAAGAAAAGCUUCUAGUGAGAAAGUAACUGCCCGUACCGCAAACCGACACAGGUAGUUGAGGAGAGAAUCCUAAGGUGUGCGAGAGAACUCUCGUUAAGGAACUCGGCAAAAUGACCCCGUAACUUCGGGAGAAGGGGUGCUGACCGCAAGGUCAGCCGCAGUGAAUAGGCCCAAGCGACUGUUUAUCAAAAACACAGGUCUCUGCAAAAUCGAAAGAUGACGUAUAGGGGCUGACGCCUGCCCGGUGCUGGAAGGUUAAGAGGAGAGGUUAGCGCAAGCGAAGCUUUGAAUUGAAGCCCCAGUAAACGGCGGCCGUAACUAUAACGGUCCUAAGGUAGCGAAAUUCCUUGUCGGGU
rnacentral:rRNA from 1 species